rnacentral:misc_RNA from 1 species
GUGGUUGUGGUUGUGGUUGUGGUUUUAAACGUUAACACAAAACAUUGUGCCUUUUUAAACUUAAUUCAGAAAUUUCCAAAUAAUGCAGUUUUAUCUGGCCUAUACCUGCCAUGUGUAAGAGUUUGGUCAAGUGAAAUCCUAAAUUUCUAAUAAUCAAGUUCUCAUUUGUUGUUCUUCUUUGUUGUGAUUUUAUUUUGGUUUGUUUAAUUUUUACAUUGUUGCGUUAGAUAUGAAUUUAAUUAAUGUAAUUUAGUGGGAAAUCUUUCUGACUUUUUUGAUGUGAUUCUUUAAUAUAUGCUAAUGUUAAUUAAUAAGUUUUGCUAAAUUUGGCAUGUAAAUUUUAUGAUUUAUCGUUUCUGAGUGAUAGGAUAAUUGAUCUAAAAACAACUAUUCAUUUCCUUGUUUCGUGCAAGACUAAAGUGUGCACCUGCUGGGUCAUAUCUAAUUUUUGAACCCGUGUUCAAUUAUUGGAAGUUGCUCUUUUCAUAUUUUCCUGUUGGGCAAGUGAUUCUAAAAUCAACAUGAGAAAUGAGGGUGAAAAUCAGGUUUUUCUUUUUGAAAUUUUAUCACUGGAAAUAUCUUGAAGAGGAAAAUGAAUGGCAAGUUUGAAGCAUGGUAGUUGUAAUUACGUUGAUGGGGAUUUAAUACUCACAAUAAUGAAGAGGAGCACGAGUCAACUUUUAGCAGGGAAAAGUGAGUACCCUUUGUGCUACAAUUUAAUAUAUAUUUUUCCUGAUUCAAAAGCAAUAAGGGAUAUAAGAAAGUUAUGACAAUUACGCGAAAAGGUUUCCUUUUUUACAUUUUAAUAUUUAGAUGUUAUUUUUCUUGUAUGUUUCUAUGCCUAACCCUUUUUUUCUUA